rnacentral:rRNA from 1 species
UAUGGCUGUCGUCAGCUCGUGUCGUGAGAUGUUGCGUUAAGUCGCGCAACGAGCGCAACCCCUGUCCUUAGUUGCCAUCAUUAAGUUGGGCACUCUAGGGAGACAAACCCUCUUUGAGGGUGGGAAGGUGGGGAUGACGUCAAGUCAGGAUGCCCUUACGGCCUGGGCUGCACACGUACUACAAUGCCCGGUACAGAGGGAAGCAAUACCGCGAGGGCGAGCUAAUCCCGUAAACCCUGCCUCAGUUCAGAUUGCAGGCUGCAACUCGCCUGCAUGAAGGCGGAAUCGCUAGUAAUCGCAGGUCAGCAUACUGCGGUGAAUCCGUUCCCGGGCCUUGUACACACCGCCCGUGGGGCGGGGCGGCGGGCCGGGCGCGGGA